UACAGAGGGGGCGAGCGUUGUUCGGAAUUACUGGGCGUAAAGGGCGCGUAGGCGGCCUGCUAAGUCAUACGUGAAAUCCCUACGGCUCAACCGAGGAAACUGCGUCUGAUACUGGUUGGCUUGAGCGGUCUAGGGGCGAGCGGAACAAAUGGUGGAGCGGUGAAAUGACGUAGAUAUCAUUUGGAACGCCAACGGUGAAAACAGCUCGCUGGGGACCUGCUGACGCUGAGACACGAAAGCCAGGGGAGCGAACGGG
rnacentral:rRNA from 1 species